rnacentral:rRNA from 1 species
UGGCGUACGGGUGAGUAACACGUGGAUCAUCUGCCCUGGAGUGGGGAAUAACGCUGGGAAACCGGCGCUAAUACCGCAUAUUCCCGAGAGGGGAAAGCAGCAAUGCGCUCGAGGAGGAGUCCGCGGCCGAUUAGCUAGUUGGCAGGGUAAAAGCCUACCAAGGCUAUGAUCGGUAGCCGGCCUGAGAGGGCACACGGCCACACUGGCACUGAAACACGGGCCAG